rnacentral:lncRNA from 1 species
GGUAGUUGGUGGUGUUGGAUAACCUAUAAAAUUUAUUAUCUCAACGUUUUGUUAGCGUAUAGCCUUAUUAUGUGCGCAUCUUUUAGGGCAAAAGAAAAAAAUCCCCUUAUGAAAGCCAAACGAAAGAAAGAAAUAUCAAAGAAGCUAAUUUCUCGAAAACUAGCAUAUGUGCUUGCAAGAAUGUAAAUAAGAUUACUCGGAUCAUACAUGAAUGAUUCACAGAAGACAACAUAUUGUUGAUCUGGUGAGACCGCGACUCCAUUAGCAAAGUAGAGGUCAUGGGCCAAAACCUUGGUCUCUUUGGUAACUGGAUCAUAGCUGAUUGCUCGACCAUAUGGCUUACCCUCCAAAAGGUCCCAGAAGAACUCGAGGAGAUUGUAUUUGUAUGAAGCAUCUGUAAAAUAGAUGGUGCCAUCUUCUGCUAUAUCUACACCAUCUGUGAGUUUAAAUUUUAUACCCUCGGCCUCAUCAGCUAGUAGCUCCACUUUACCCUCUCCAUUUAUCUUUAGCAGUCCCUGUUAUACAUAACAUUAUAUAUAACAAGACCAUGCGGUAAUUAACGUAAUACCAGUGCUACACACAAGGCAUUAGUAAGCUUCUAUUAAAUACAUGAGAAAACAAUACAUUGAAAAAUGAUCAUAUAUUCAAAGUUGAUUUCAAGACAAUUAAACUUAUAGAUAUAAGACUAAAUAUAAAGAUAAAUAAGCUAAUUUUAUAAAAACUAUAAUGAUUUUGAGAAAAAUAUCACAUUCGCUCAUAUUUCUCUGAGAAAAAAGUAAUUUCAUUCGGAACAUAUUAUAUCACUCCUAAUUAGUCUUAGCUUCAUGUACUUUUAUAUUAUUUUUUACACUUGACACUCUCUAAUAAACAAAAUGUGAUAUUUUUUUUCCCUCUAAUUACCUAAAACAAAAUGUGCAAGCAUCUUUAGUGAUGGCAACAAAUUAUUUUUUUUAAAAAAACAAUGAAUUUGUGUCAACUAAAUUUAAUAUGUGAUUUUAAUUUUGAGAUUAUAAUUAUAUUAAUAUGGGUUAACUGUAAAAUUAUACAUAAGCCUAGAGCAAGAAAGUGCUGAUUUAGUUGGUUAGUUGUCACAUUCUUUACCCUUCUAAGCUUUUUUUCUAUUUGAGUCUUUGUUCUAUUUGUUUAAGAUGAAAUGCGAGAUUCAAUUCAAAUGAGCUAUUAGAGAGUUACAUAUUAAAUUGAAAAAAAAUUGACUAGGCUAGGCUGGGGUGAAAUGAAAUUCAAGGCUCACUUGAAGAAUCAAUAUUGAUUAAAAAAAAAAGAAAAAAAGAAAAAAAGAUGUCGCGUGGAAUAAACAUACCACCGUGUGAACUGGACCACCAUAGUCUGGUGGUACAGCCUCCAAUCUCCAAAAAUGGUAAUUCUUUCCACAAUUAGAUUCAUCUCAUCAAAGCGGUCAUCCCAAAAACAGACAAUUAGAUUCAUCUCAUCAAAGCGGUCAUCCCAAAAACAGUGCAUGGCUGAGGAGGAUUAUGUGGCUUUAGCGACCAUUUUUUCUUCUCUUUCCGUUCUCAUAUUCUAUCUACUCUGGAAAGAGAAGGGUCUCUGUUUUUUCAUUUUCAAAUCUAGUCCCUUUAGUUUUAAUUCAUUAGAAAACGAGAAAUUCUAACUAUUUUGCAGAGAAUCUUAUAUCCAGGAGAUCAAACCAAGCACCAAACCCAAAUUUCAAUCCAACCAAUUGCUGAAGGAAAAAAAAAAAAAAAAAAUAGAGCAUGGUGAUGAACAUGGCGUAUUAAUUUAUUUCUUGUAAUAGAACAUUAAGUUGAUUAAUUAACGUCACCAACCUUGAAAGCAUCGGCUACAAUAACUUCAUUAUCGUGUCCAAGGGCGAGUCCGAGAGGCCUACCUCCAGUGCUAACCCAGCUCUCCACGAUAGUGUCAGCAACUGAGUCAUUAAUCGUGACUCGUUUAACCCACCCAUCAGCGCAAGAAGUGUAAAUAACACCCGAAUUGCUAUCAUAUACAAUAUCUUCUGGUUCAAUCAACUGCUUGAAACCCACAAGCUCUGACCCUUGAAGCAUGUGAUCAUUCUUCUUCAAAGCCUUCAAUGGUGGCUGAGUCAGCUCGUGGAUCGGCAAGUGAGCUGGUUCGAACGAGUCAAGUUGGAAAACCAGUGUAGCUACCAAGACAGGAGAUAGAACAGUUAACAGAACAGUAAGGAAAGGCCAUGAGGUCUUUCUUGAUGUGGGUUUCGGAGAAGAUGGUGAGCUUGCAGGUCUAGCCAUAGGGGGUUGGAUAAUGUUAUCUCGAUACUGAGCAAGCCUUUAAAUUAAGAAACAAGUUGUCUGAAAUCAUUGGCAUUCUAAUAUUUGAUGUCAUAAAACUAAAACAAUAUAAAGACUAUUAAGUUUUAAAAAACUCAUGAAAUAGACUCUCUCUUUUUUUUUAACCAAGACCACAUAAUUUCAUGAGUUUUUCUCUUAAAAGAUCCAAACUUGAGUUGAUUCUUUCAACUCAACCCCAAUUUUAUCCGAGUCAAACUCUUUUAUGGGCUCUUGUAACGACAACAAAAACAAUGAAAAAGGGCCACGCACUUGCCUUCUUUCCAGAACUGACAGGAACGUUGAUGGGAUCUGCGAUUAAAAAACAAAAACAUCUCUUAUAGAAAAUUAUAAGUGAAUGCAUGCGGGAGAUGACUUUCGAGGAAGAUGCCUCGUCAUCGACCAAAAGUCAUCUUAUGCAAAAAUAAUCAAUUAUAUGCAUGUGGAAGAUGACGUAUACGUCAUUUAUAUGAUUUUAUUGUCUAGCUUUUUUUUUUUAAUUCUAACUUUCUCUCUCUCUCUCUCCAAUUUAAUCUCUUAGUAUUUUAUUAAUCUUAAAUUAAUCAUCCUGAUUUAUUUUAGAUUUUACAAAUUCGAUCUAUACAAUCUUUCUUGUCCUCGAGCGGCGUCCGAUGGCAAUUUUUAUUCACUUCCUUGAUUUGAAAAAUCGCCACCUAAAAUUUAAUUCAAGGCUACUAGAAAACCCGACUAUACUAUUCCUUGUAAUAAAUUCAUUGGUAAAAAACUGUUUAUGACUAGGAAAGAUAUUAACACCCCUAACGCAUCCUACUUGAGGUAAGUUGCUCCUUAGUUUUGAUAUGAUUUAAAAAUUUAAACAUAUUAAUCAAAUUUUUAAGGUUUUAAUAAAUCAGUUAUUAAAUCCCAAAAAAAAUAUGUAGAAACAUGUUCUUAUAUUUUUACGAGAAAUACAACAUGAUUUUAUUUGUCCGUAAAAUACUUGAUCAUAUGUAAAUUAAACCAUUAAAUUCUUUUUUUUAAUUCAAUAACAUACAAAAAAAAAAUACAAACACACACAUCAUUUUUACAUGUUACAAAAUAACAGAAAUUGAAAUUAACCAAACAAGACCUUAACAAUUCCAAAAUUAAAAAACACACCCCAAAAAAAUAUAAGAACUGUAGGGAAGCCUUCUAAGACCUGCUAAAAUAGUGCACUGCGUGGAGCUCACGCACCACCGCCACUGGCGGCGUAUGGAUCCACGUGCCGUUGUUGGCGAAGACCAAUAAACUUGUGGAUCGGGAUCGUCUCAUUCUUCUCUUCUUGCUCGUACCGGUGGUGGAUCUCCCAGUCACCUGCAAGGCAACCCAACAAACACAAAUAAUAGAUUUCACUUUUGUUUUCCCCCCUUUUCUUUUAGAUCUGCCACUGUCUCCCUCCGUUAAUCCUUUCUUGUUUUGUGCAGCAAUGUCGCAAGCAACAAACCUUGCCCACAACAGCAGCAAGAAAAGAAGGAUGACACUGUGUUUUAAUUGGUUUGGAAAUCAACAUUUAUAAGAGAACAACGAACAAAUAAAAUAUCAAAGCGGGACAACAAAUUAUAAAUUAAAUUUCAGCUGUGAAAGAAAUGUAUGAGUACAUGGCAAACAUUGAAAAUUGAAAUCGAAAAGAGCUACGAUUGGAGAGAAUACAAUACGUAAUUCAACAUGAUCAAACAUGGAAAUCAAUGUACAUGCUUUUUAUUUAUAACGAAGCAUAAAAUCCAUACCGAAUGACAUUACACCUUUAUAAAAUCUUCAUCUUCAGCAUAUUACAAUAACAUCCCCAAGAACAGCAUGCCUCUUAUUUAUCAAAUGAAUAACUUUAUUUGAACUUUAAAUUAAACAAUAAGACAAACACUAAGUUUAUUUUUGAAGUAAAUAAUGACAUAUUAAAGAUGGGUAAUUUUUCCUGGUUAUCUACACGAUCUGAGUUGAUGAUAUGUAGCUUAGGGCCUGCAAUUUUUUUUUAUGUCCGAUUUGGGAAAAAUAAUCUCACUUUGAGCAUUGACAGUAGCCGAAAAUAACAAAGGGAGUGUUGCCAUAGUUAGAAAAUAGUUAUUUAACAUUCAUUUUCUGUCCUUGAAUAAUUUCUAUAGCUGAAAAAGAAACAAAUCUUGUCCUAUGACCAUUUCAUAGCCAACAAUACCAUAAGUAGCCAAGAAAGAAGAAGGUACAUUAUUAGAAUAAUAUGACAAAAAUAAUUGCAGGGUGUGGGAUAAUGCGAAGAACAUCACUUCAUAGGAGUGUUGCUUACACUGUGGCUCGUGCAGGAUGCUUUGUUACAUCAAGACGGACAAUGUAGGGAUAGAGAAGGGAACCGCAGUAUAUAUGGUUUCCAAUCCUGAUCCCACUUGAAAUCAAUGCCAAACCCGGAUCAUAGUAAUGCUCCGUUGGCUUUCCUUCCAAAUCUACGAUGAAAACACCACUAUUCUUCGACAUAUUAAUUCCCCCCAUGUACUUCGUAUAGAUUCCCAUAAGCUUUCGAAGAAAAGGAUGUUUGAGUGCUAGGUCCAGUGCAACUGUGAUUUCCUGUUGUAUUUUUGCAGCAACAUUAAUGGUGUUAUAAACAACAGUCAUACUAUAAAGGUCUUUAAGUGAACGGAAAAAGAAGAUUAAUACAAGUAAAGAAUAGCAGGAACGCAAUUAAAUUACCGAGGCUAAUGCAAUAUAGUAAUGGCCAUGUCCAUCAUGAUGGAUGUUAUCAGGCAAGCCAGGCAAAUUGUCAAUGAAUGUCUCUAGGCUCCCUUUUUUCUUUCCUUGUAUGUAAUAUUUUCUACACCUUCUCCUGCAAUAACCAGUUCAAAAAAGUGAAUUAUAAGAACUUAAUGAUAAUUCAUAGAUAGUUGGUGGUGUUGGAUAACCUAUAAAAUUUAUUAUCUCAACGUUUUGUUAGCGUAUAGCCUUAUCCCUAGGCGCAUCUUUUAGGGCAAAAGAAAAGAAAUCCCUUUAUGAAAGCCAAACGAAAGAAAGAAAUAUCAAAGAAGCCAAUUUCUCGAAAACUAGCAUUCGUGCUUGCAAGAAUGUAAAUAAGAUUAUUUGGAUCAUACAUGAAUGUUUCGCAGAAGACCACAUAUUGUUGAUCUGGUGAGACGGCGAUUCCAUUAGCAAAGUAGAGGUCACGGGCCAAAACCUUGGUCUCUUUGGUAACUGGAUCAUAGCUGAUUGCUCGACCAUAUGGCUUACCCUCCAAAAGGUCCCAGAAGAACUCGAGCAGAUUGUAUUUGUAUGAAGCAUCUGUAAAAUAGAUGGUGCCAUCUUCUGCUAUAUCUACACCAUCUGUGAUCUUCAAUUUUACACCCUCGGCCUCAUCAGCUAGUAGCUCCACUUUACCCUCUCCGCUU